rnacentral:rRNA from 1 species
UAGGGAAUCUUCCACAAUGGACGCAAGUCUGAUGGAGCAACGCCGCGUGAGUGAAGAAGGGUUUCGGCUCGUAAAGCUCUGUUGUUAAAGAAGAACGUGGGUAAGAGUAACUGUUUACCCAGUGACGGUAUUUAACCAGAAAGCCACGGCUAACUACGUG